CCUACGGGUGGCAGCAGUAGGGAAUCUUCCACAAUGGGCGCAAGCCUGAUGGAGCAACACCGCGUGAGUGAAGAAGGGUUUCGGCUCGUAAAGCUCUGUUGUUGGAGAAGAACGUGCGUGAGAGUAACUGUUCACGCAGUGACGGUAUCCAAACAGAAAGUCACGGCUAACUACGUGCCAGCAGCCGCGGUAAUACGUAGGUGGCAAGCGUUAUCCGGAUUUAUUGGGCGUAAAGCGAGAGGAGGCGGUUGCUUAGGUCUGAUGUGAAAGCCUUCGGCUUAACCGAAGAAGUGCAUCGGAAACCGGGCAACUUGAGUGCAGAAGAGGACAGUGGAACUCCAUGUGUAGCGGUGGCAUGCGUAGAUAUAUGGAAGAACACCAGUGGCGAAGGCGGCUGUCUGGUCUGCAACUGACGCUGAGGCUCGAAAGCAUGGGUAGCGAACAGGAUUAGAUACCCCAGUAGUC
rnacentral:rRNA from 1 species